rnacentral:rRNA from 1 species
UGAGGAAUAUUGCGCAAUGGGGGCAACCCUGACGCAGCGACGCCGCGUGGAUGAUGAAGGCCCUUGGGUCGUAAAAUCCUGUCAGAUGGAAAGAAAUGCCACAGGGCUAAUAUCUUUGUGGUUUGACGGUACCAUCAAAGGAAGCACCGGCUAACUCCGUGCCAGCAGCCGCGGUAAUACGGAGGGUGCAAGCGUUGUUCGGAAUUACUGGGCGUAAAGCGCGCGUAGGCGGUUUGCUCAGUCAGAUGUGAAAGCCCUCGGCUUAACCGGGGACGUGCAUUUGAAACUGGCAGACUUGAGUAUUGGAGGGGGUGGUGGAAUUCCCGGUGUAGAGGUGAAAUUCGUAGAUAUCGGGAGGAAUACCGGUGGCGAAGGCGACCACCUG